UACGAAGGGGGCUAGCGUUGCUCGGAAUCACUGGGCGUAAAGGGUGCGUAGGCGGGUCUUUAAGUCAGGGGUGAAAUCCUGGAGCUCAACUCCAGAACUGCCUUUGAUACUGAAGAUCUUGAGUUCGGGAGAGGUGAGUGGAACUGCGAGUGUAGAGGUGAAAUUCGUAGAUAUUCGCAAGAACACCAGUGGCGAAGGCGGCUCACUGGCCCGAUACUGACGCUGAGGCACGAAAGCGUGGGGAAGCAACAGG
rnacentral:rRNA from 1 species